rnacentral:rRNA from 1 species
AUGGCAGUUGUUUUGAGAUAUCUUAGCAAGCGUGGAUUUAUCAUUGAACGGUUAGUUGGAAUUGAACAUGUGAAGGAAACAUCAGCAACUUGUCUCAAGGCUACUCUUCAAAAAUUAUUCACUGAGAUUGGACUAAGCAUAAAGCAGGUUAGAGGCCAAUGCUAUGAUGGGGCUAGUAAUAUGCGCGGUGAGUUUAAUUGCUUGAAAGCAAAGAUUAUGCAAGAGAAUAAGUCAGCGUAUUAUGUGCAUUGUUUUGCUCACCAGCUCCAAUUGGUUAUUGUGGCAGUAUCAAAGAAGCAUGAUGAUAUUGCAGAUUUUUUUUACAUGAUCUCAGUUUUAUUCAAUGUGGUUGGAGCUUCUUGCAAAAGAAAGGAUAUGAUUAGAGAGAAACAUCGAGAGGAGGUAAUAAAAGCCAUAGGUAGUGGGCAGAUUAGCACUGGCACAGGGCUAAAUCAAGAACAAACUCUUCAAAGAGCUGGGGACACACGUUGGGGCUCACACUACCGGACUCUUUCAAGUCUAGUGAAAUUGUUCCCAUCAGUUAUGUCUGUUCUGAAAUAUGUUGAGAAAGAAGGCAAAAGUGAAAAGAAAUGUCAAGCACGUGGUCUUGUAGCAUAUUUUGAGACCUUUGAUUUUGUUUUUUAUUUGCACAUGAUGUUGCAUAUAUUGGGAAAUGCAAAUACUUUGUCACAGUCUUUACAAAGGAAGGAUCAAGACAUCCUGAAUGCCAUCUCAUGUGUGAAGUGA